rnacentral:rRNA from 1 species
UACGUAGGGGGCUAGCGUUGUCCGGAAUCAUUGGGCGUAAAGAGCGUGUAGGCGGCUCGGUAAGUCCGCUGUGAAAGUCCAGGGCUCAACCCUGGAAUGCCAGUGGAAACUGUCGAGCUAGAGUCCGGAAGAGGCGAGUGGAAUUCCUGGUGUAGCGGUGAAAUGCGCAGAUAUCAGGAGGAACACCAAUGGCGAAGGCAGCUCGCUGGGACGGUACUGACGCUGAGACGCGAAAGCGUGGGUAGCAAACAGG